rnacentral:rRNA from 1 species
GACGAACGCUGGCGGCGUGCUUAACACAUGCAAGUCGAACGAUGAAGCCGGAGCUUGCUCUGGUGAAUUAGUGGCGAACGGGUGAGUAACACGUGAGUAACCUGCCCUUGACUCUGGGAUAACUGCGGGAAACUGUAGCUAAUACCGGAUACGACCCUCGGAGGCAUCUCCUGGGGGUGGAAAGAAUUUCGGUCAAGGAUGGACUCGCGGCCUAUCAGCUAGUUGGUGAGGUAAAGGCUCACCAAGGCGACGACGGGUAGCCGGCCUGGGGGGGUGACCGGCCACACUGGGACUGAGACACGGCCCAGACGCCUACGGGAGGCAGCAGUGGGGAAUAGUGCACAAUGGGCGCAAGCCUGAUACAGCAACGCCGCGUGAGGGAUGACGGCCUUCGGGUUGUAAACCUCUUUUAGCAGGGAAGAAGCGAAAGUGACGGUACCUGCAGAAAAAGCACCGGCUAACUACGUGCCAGCCGCCGCCGUAA